rnacentral:rRNA from 1 species
GGAUCAUAUACGGCCGCCAGUGUGCUGAUCGCCCUUAAGUUGAUCCUGGCUCAAUGAACGCUGGCGGCAGGCCUAAGACAUGCAAGUCGAACGGUAACGACACUAGCUUGCUAGUGGGCGACGAGUGGCGGACGGGUGAGUAACGCGUAGGAAUCUACCUAGUAGUGGGGGAUAGCCAAGGGAAACUUUGGGUAAUACCGCAUACGAUCUAAGGAUGAAAGGGGGCCUCUCUUUGAAGCUCUCGCUAUUAGAUGAGCCUGCGUAAGAUUAGCUUGUUGGUGAGGUAAUGGCUCACCAAGGCGACGAUCUUUAGCUGGUCUGAGAGGAUGAUCAGUCACACUGGAACUGAGACACGGUCCAGACUCCUACGGGAGGCAGCAGUCGGGAAUAUUGGACAAUGGGGGAAACCCUGAUCCAGCCAUGCCGCGUGUGUGAAGAAGGCCCUAGGGUUGUAAAGCACUUAUAGUAGUGAGGAAGGCUCAGCAGUUAAUACCUGCUGGGAUUGACGUUAGCUACAGAAAAAGCACCGGCUAAUUUCGUGCCAGCAGCCGCGGUAAUACGAAAGGUGCAAAG